GGGAGUUUAGCUGAGACGGAUUAGCGCUUGCCUGAAGAGCUCGAGAGGUUGGAUCGUUACCAACAGCUCCCA
rnacentral:tRNA from 2 species